rnacentral:lncRNA from 1 species
UAACUUCUCCAUCCUAAUUCGUUUUCUCCUGAAACUUGACGAGUGCUUAUAUAAUUAAAUUACACACAAAAACAUCAUCAACAGAGAGUUUAGCUACAUUGCCAAAUCUUUGUCCUUACACUCAACCAAAGAUGUACCCCAGUCUAGUAUAAUUAAGAAUCGCGCUCGAAUUAAUAUUUAAAUCUUAAUUAAUUUAUCUCCAAAUAUAUUUAAAUAUUAACCUAAUUCAACUAGAAAUCAACUACAAGUCUAACCAAAUCCUAACAAAAUGCCUAGUCU